rnacentral:rRNA from 1 species
AACGAACGCUGGCGGCAUGCCUAACACAUGCAAGUCGAACGAGACCUUCGGGUCUAGUGGCGCACGGGUGCGUAACGCGUGGGAACCUGCCCCUAGGUUCGGAAUAACUCCCCGAAAGGGGUGCUAAUACCGGAUAAUGUCUUCGGACCAAAGAUUUAUCGCCUUUGGAUGGGCCCGCGUUGGAUUAGCUAGUUGGUAGGGUAAAAGCCUACCAAGGCGACGAUCCAUAGCUGGUCUGAGAGGAUGAUCAGCCACACUGGGACUGAGACACGGCCCAGACUCCUACGGGAGGCAGCAGUGGGGAAUAUUGGACAAGGGGCGAAAGCCUGAUCCAGCAAUGCCGCGUGAGUGAUGAAGGCCUUAGGGUUGUAAAGCUCUUUUACCCGGGAUGAUAAUGACAGUACCGGGAGAAUAAGCUCCGGCUAACUCCGUG